rnacentral:misc_RNA from 1 species
GGAAGUAAAAGUCGAACAAGGUUUCCGUAGGUGAACCUGCGGAAGGAUCAUUAUUGUAUAACCGAGGUGCGAGGGCUGUCGCUGACCCGAAAGGUCGUGCACGCCCGAGUGCCCUCACACACAUCCAUCUCACCCCUAUGUGCACCACCGCGUGGGUCCCCCUUUGGCUUGUUCGGAGGGGGGCUUACGUUUUCACACAAACUUUGUAUGCAGUGUAGAAUGUAUUUUUUGUUUUUGCGAUCACGCAAUCAAUACAACUUUCAACAACGGAUCUCUUGGCUCUC